GGGGCGGGAGGCGCCCACUUGUCCCCAUGGCAGCUGCGCCGGAGCCCGGCGAACCCGGGAAGGGGAAGCCCUUUAAGCUCCUAGGAAUUUUAGAUGUUGAGAACAUUCCCUGUGCACGGGACUCGGUAUUAUAUGGUUCAUUAGGAUCUGUUGUGGCUGGCCUUGGACAUUUUUUGUUAACUAGUAGAAUUAGAAGAUCAUGUGAUGUUGGAGUAGGAGGAUUUAUCGUGGUGACUUUAGGAUGCUGGUUCCAUUGUAGGUAUAAUUAUGCAAAGCUAAGAAUCCAAGAAAGAACAGCCAGAGAAGGAAUUAAAAAUAAGAUUUUAUAUGAAAGUACCCACCUUGAUCCUGAACGAAAACUAACAGCAACAGCAGCAACUGAACAGAGUAAAACAUAGAAACCCAAAUACAAUUCACGGACGUUAGUGUGAACCAAGCUGAAAUCAAUUAUGUAAAACAUUGUAUGUACCAUAAGAAGGAUUUCCAUCAAGUAAAUAAAGAUUUCACCUUGCUGCCUGGGUAUUAAGGCCAGAAGCUGGUCACAGCCUUCUAGAUCAGAGCCAGAGCCCUCCACCAAAGACUAGAUCUAUGUAACAAGAUGUAACCUACCAACAAAGAGAACUUUCUAAGUUAUGUCAGUUUGAGCUGCUUCAUCAUUUCUAUCUUGCAGCAUUUUCUUAGUUUCCUGAGUAACCUCUUUAUGUUAUACCACUGUAGCUGACCAAUCUGAUUCAAUUCCUGACUUGGUAUCUGCAACUUUCUAGUGAAAGCAUCCCUGCAACCAACUGCAAUCUCACAGGUGAGUUUUCUCUAGGUAUAGUUGGGA